rnacentral:lncRNA from 1 species
GUGGUUUUCCCCAGUCCACCCAUACCUGACACUGUUAUCACCUUACUGUCCAGCUCGUCGGUGUACAACCAUUCAGUCAGCAGUCUCCUGUUGUCUUCAAUCCCCACAAGAUCUUCAUCUUUCACAAGUUCUGGGAAGCUGUCCCGGGACCUCUGUCUUUCCAUCUCGGAACCACUCUUCCGCCAUUUGCACAGAGUAAUACGAGUAUUUGUCCAUGACAUCCUCAACACGGUAGGCCACCUUCCUCACCUCCCCAAUCCAACCCUUGACGACUUCAUCAGUGAGAGCAAGGAGGACCGCCUCUGCCAUUUGUGCUGA